rnacentral:rRNA from 1 species
GGUAAUUCCAGAGCUAAUAUAUGCAACUCAUACCCCGAAGGCCGCGCUCUUGCAGUGUGCGCUGGACGGGUGCUUUUAUUAGACCAAACCGCUGAGGGUGUGUUAGCCUCCCGGGGCGCACGCUUGACUCGCAUGAUGGUGACUCUGGAUAACCUUUGACAAGCGCACGUACCACUCUUUUGAGCGGACGGCGCUGCCACUUUCGAGUGUCUGCCUUAUCAGCUAUCAACCGUUCGUUACGUGCGACCGAUGGCUUUGACGGGUAACGGGGAAUCAGGGUUCGAUUCCGGAGAGGCAGCCUGAGAGACGGCUACCACGUCCAAGGACGGCAGCAGGCGCGCAAAUUACCCAAUCCCAGCUUCUGGGGGAGGUAGUGACGAAAUCUAACGAUGCGGGCGCCCUUUCUAGGGCCCCGCAAUCGGAAUGAGCACUUUCUAAACAACCUGUUGAGAACCUACUGAAGGGCAAGUCUGGUGCCAGCAGCCGCGGUAAUUCCAGCUUCAGCAGCAUCUAUUAAAGUUGCUGCGGUUAAAAGGCUCGCAGUUGAAUGUCAGUGCCGGGCGCAGGUUAGGUGGACGCUGGGGUGUGAGAACCAACACGGCACGGGCUUCGUCUGGAUGCUUGUCAGCUUGCUGGCCUUCCAGGGGUGGCACCGACCGUGUCUCACAAACUCCCGUCCGUGACAAGCCUCCUCGCCCGCGUACAUAUGGGAAUUGGUUUCGGAGGCGUGCGAACGGCGGCUUCUCUCACGUGUGUGCUGGCUCACGCUGGCCAUACCUGGGGUUGUGUCAGCCACGUGCGUUCUCUUUGUGGUUUCAGAGUCACCUUGAGUAAAUCAGAGUGCUCAAAGCAGUCGUAGGGGCCUUGCGCCCUGUGAAAAGUCUUGACGGACUGACUGGUUAUGCAUGGCAUGUCGGAAGACGACGUCGCGUGCUGGCUCAGAGCUUGAUCAGUGGUAUAAGCCAGCCGCGACGUACUGAUUAAAAGGGACGGUCGAGGGCAUUGGUAUUGCGAGGCGAGAGGUGAAAUUCUAUGACCCCCGCAAGACC